UACGAGGGGGGCGAGCGUUGUUCGGAAUUAUUGGGCGUAAAGGGCGCGUAGGUGGCGGGACAAGCGUGCGGUGAAAGCUCGGGGCUCAACCCCGCGUCGGCCGUGCGAACUGUUUUGCUUGAGCACUGUAGAGGCAGGCGGAAUUCCGGGUGUAGCGGUGGAAUGCGUAGAGAUCCGGAAGAACACCGGUGGCGAAGGCGGCCUGCUGGGCAGUAGCUGACACUGAGGCGCGACAGCGUGGGGAGCAAACAGG
rnacentral:rRNA from 1 species